rnacentral:sRNA from 1 species
GCCAGGCGCAGUGGCGCAUGCCUGUAAUCCCAGCAGCUCGGGAGGCUGAGGCAGGAGGAUCACAAGUUCAAAGCCAGCCUCAG